ensembl:ncRNA C18A3.17 ncRNA
UGUACGGUAUCGAUGUUGAGAUCAGAAGAAGAAUGAAAACAGCAAAAGCUGAUGUUGUCAUAAACAAAAAUUGUUCCAUUUUUAGUGCAUUUUCUGAAAAAUCUGCUUAGCGAUUUUGAUUUGGUUGGACUUUUUAAAA